ensembl:lncRNA
CCGUCGGCGGCUCCCGUUCGGGGUCGGUGGUGUGGGGCCCUUCUCCAGUGUCAGGAUAUCUUGUUCUCUCUGGCAGUAUGGCAUUCUUCAGUUUGUCAGGUGAAGCGGGAGUGCUGUCUGUUGGUUUGUAGUUUCAACAGGUGGUCAUUCAGAAGUGUGGCAUUUCUGUGUGGGUUAAGAAGCCCACUGUGAAGUUUGCAGCUCUUCAGGUAUGUGGGAAGAAACAGAAAGGUUCGUGUCCUUGAGAGGCUUGAAUGCUUACUUUGAGUUGAAGGUGGUCAUCCAAAGAGGGCUUUGUCUUCUGUGGUUGUUGCCUUCAUUGCUGGGAUUGGAUGUGUUGGGGAUGUGUCUUUGACUUAAAUGUAAUUGUUGUGAAUGUCAUUCUAAUUGCUUUUCUUUACAG